CCCUUUGAUACUCUGGGCGGCACGCGCGCUACAAUGGAUAAUACAACGUGUUACUUAACCGAAAGGUUAUGUAAAUCACAAAUGUUACGUCUUGAAUGGGAUAGUUUAUUGCAACUACAGACUUGAACUAGGAAUCCCUUGUAGGUACACUGAAGCAUAGUGUACCGAAUACGUCCCUGCCGUUUGUACACACCGCCCGUCGUUUCUUCCGACUGAUACUCAUUGUGAAUUACGAGGAUGCGUUAGCAAAAUCGUUGUAAAUGCUGGGUAUUGGAGAAAGAAAAANUCGUANCA
rnacentral:rRNA from 1 species